UACGGAGGAUGCAAGCGUUAUCCGGAAUGAUUGGGCGUAAAGCGUCCGCAGGUGGCUGUGUAAGUCUGCUGUUAAAGAGUCAUGCUCAACAUGAUAAGAGCAGUGGAAACUACACGGCUAGAGUGCGUUCGGGGCAGAGGGAAUUCCUGGUGUAGCGGUGAAAUGCGUAGAUAUCGGGAGGAACACCCGUAGCGAAGGCGGCCGACUGGACCACACCUGACGCUGAGGCGCGAAGGCCAGGGGAGCGAACGGG
rnacentral:rRNA from 1 species